rnacentral:lncRNA from 1 species
CUUUAGACUAAAAAUGUGUUUGAAGAUUCAGGUGUCAGCCCUCAGAGCCAUCAGCUUGUGCUAUUUUCCAUACUCUGCUAGCUGAGCCUCAGGAAUCUAAAUGGUUAGAGCUGGCUUCACAUACUACUACUCUUCCACAUCAGUGUUUUCUGCACACUUGACUUACAGAGCAUCAACAUGAAAAUUCCAUAAAGAAGCAAGAAAAUAAUUUUAUUUGUAAAACAUGGAGAAGAUAACAGAAAACAGGAGAAAACUAGAGAGGAAGGUAGGAAGUUUAGGCAUUAGUAGGCAUCCCAUUUGCUAUUAGGUGGGGAGGAAAUGGGCCUGGCAGCAGUGGAAAUGAUAUGAACUGGGAAGUGGGCCAACAGCAUCAGCACCCUGAACUCUCUUGGGGACUAUUCUGCAGGGUUAUUCUGCUGGAUUCAUGAACAACCCAUUCAUUGUUGUCCAAGACCCAUUGAGGAAUCCACAUCCUUCCUGGGGAAAAAUAUCUUUAGUGGCAGGGGAAGGGCACCUCUUCUUACUGUCAAGCAAGAUGGAAGUGUAAAGAAAUGUGUGACCACUUGUAAUGAUGUCAGGAGGAGAAUACUGCUACUUCUUCCCUUUAUCUAGGUCAAAUUCCAGUGAAAAGCAGGAAGGGAUGCUACCACUAGGUUUCCAUGGAAAACAGGGUCAGAGGCAGACCAUGUCAGUUCAAAACUGUGGACAUGUCUGUCUCCUUCCCCUCAUACUUCUUUAGAAUCUUGGGCCUUCAGUUAUCUAGAGGAAGGCAAAGGUCAGAGAUUUCUCUUAGAAAUCUAGACAGAGCAGAAGAUCUAGUUUCGGGAGUAGGGAGACAGAAAAAGUGGCUGAUUUCCAAGCAGGCUGUUAUUUUAGAUCAGUUUUUGCUUCCUAAACUCAAUUUUAUACCUCCUGGAUCAAAGUAAAAUAGGCUGGUUGGUGGCCCAACAAAGCUGUGUCUAACACACCCAGGGCAGGUGCUAUAGGAAUCUAAAGACAAAGUUGUUCCUUGCUGUGCACAGGUCAAAGGCAGGGUUGCUAGGAGUGAAGUUGGGAGUGUGCAUGCAUCCAAGCACAGCUUUGCCUAUGCUUUGAUAUUUCCUCCCACCACCUCAUUAUAAGUCCUAAAUCAGAAUGUAUCAGAAAAUACUCCAGUAUUGUUGUUCUUUUUUCUUUUCUGUUGGAUAUGGGAUCUCACUCUAUUCAGAGGAUGGUCUUGAACUCCUGGGCAGAAAUUAUCCCCCUCCUUCAGCCUCCUGAGUAGUUGUAACCACAGUUGCACAUGCUGCAUCUGGUUCGAAUAUUCUUUAUAUAAGAUUCAAAUUCAUGCUGAGGCUGUAGCAUUGUCUGUCGCCUAAGCAGUUCAUUCUAAUUACAACUCUGUGGGCUUUGACAUCAUCAGGAUGUGGGAGACACUGUCACUACACUGUGGAAAGGAAAUUGUAAAUAUCUGCAGAUGUAUCUUGCAUAACCUGAACAGUCUUUUACCAAAUAGACAAAUAAAGACAAUUAAACAUAAACCACUAUGACCAUCUUACAGAUAGUCAUUUGGAAUGUGACAAAAUUUAAUUUCAUUUAAUAAUAAUUUACUAAAUGAGUUCUAGGGUUGCCCCUAAGUGUCUCAGAAAAACGGGGAGGGAGACUUAAACAUUCCUGAGAGGUUAUGCAGUGUUUAUGGAUGAGAAGGUCACAGAUGGAACUGAACAACAAACUCAUUUCAUUAUCAGGAAAAAAUAACAUUUGGAUUCUAGAUGUUGCUAAUAAAUGAGGGAACCUAUACAUUCUGGCUUCUCUCAAACUUCCUUUUAGUGCUUCUACAGGAAAUUUUUGAUAUACAGAGACAUCCAAAUGAGUCUCUCAUUUGCCUGCAGAGCUAUGCCUGGACUGGAGCUAUGACCUUGUGCUGGGAGAGAUUCUGUUAACACAAGCCAAUUGCUGGCUUUACAAUGAUUAAUUAUGGUGUAUAGAAUAUGUUCUAUGAGCUAAAGUAUAUGAAUGUAUACUUCUGUGUAUAUAAAUUAUAUUAACUUUGAUCCAUGUAGCUGGCAAGCACAUGAGAGCUAAUUUAAUUCUAUAACUCAGACAACAGAAAAGUGCAAUUUUGCACUGAGAGUCAUAAGGACCAGAGCUCUUACCCAGAAUCAACAUUAAAGUGCAUCUGUGAUUGCCUGGGGAUGGGAUGGGAAGAAUCACAACAUGCAUGAGGAAACUUUGUAAAGGGAAAUAAUUUUGGGAUUUCUUCUUAUGAAGAUAAACACUAGAUAAGCCAUUAGAAUACUUACCAAUAAAAUAAUAUUAUAGGAUGUAGUAAAUCUCAGCAGAGAAUUAUACACUAGUAUGGAGAUCCAUACGUAAGCACAUACUGUAUAUAAUUUCCUCUAGACAAAUGUCUAAAUAUUAGUC